CCUACGGGAGGCAGCAGUGGGGAAUAUUGCACAAUGGGCGCAAGCCUGAUGCAGCGACGCCGCGUGAGGGAUGGAGGCCUUCGGGUUGUAAACCUCUUUUAUCGGGGAGCAAGCGAGAGUGAGUUUACCCGUUGAAUAAGCACCGGCUAACUACGUGCCAGCAGCCGCGGUAAUACGUAGGGUGCAAGCGUUAUCCGGAAUUAUUGGGCGUAAAGGGCUCGUAGGCGGUUCGUCGCGUCCGGUGUGAAAGUCCAUCGCUUAACGGUGGAUCCGCGCCGGGUACGGGCGGGCUUGAGUGCGGUAGGGGAGACUGGAAUUCCCGGUGUAACGGUGGAAUGUGUAGAUAUCGGGAAGAACACCAAUGGCGAAGGCAGGUCUCUGGGCCGUUACUGACGCUGAGGAGCGAAAGCGUGGGGAGCGAACAGGAUUAGAUACCCUGGUAGUCCACGCCGUAAACGGUGGAUGCUGGAUGUGGGGCCCGUUCCACGGGUUCCGUGUCGGAGCUAACGCGUUAAGCAUCCCGCCUGGGGAGUACGGCCGCAAGGCUAAAACUCAAAGAAAUUGACGGGGGCCCGCACAAGCGGCGGAGCAUGCGGAUUAAUUCGAUGCAACGCGAAGAACCUUACCUGGGCUUGACAUGUUCCCGACGGUCGUAGAGAUGCGGCUUCCCUUCGGGGCGGGUUCACAGGUGGUGCAUGGUCGUCGUCAGCUCGUGUCGUGAGAUGUUGGGUUAAGUCCCGCAACGAGCGCAACCCUCGCCCCGUGUUGCCAGCGGAUUAUGCCGGGAACUCACGGGGGACCGCCGGGGUUAACUCGGAGGAAGGUGGGGAUGACGUCAGAUCAUCAUGCCCCUUACGUCCAGGGCUUCACGCAUGCUACAAUGGCUGGUACAACGGGAUGCGACGCGGUGACGCGGAGCGGAUCCCUGAAAACCGGUCUCAGUUCGGAUCGCAGUCUGCAACUCGACUGCGUGAAGGCGGAGUCGCUAGUAAUCGCGAAUCAGCAACGUCGCGGUGAAUGCGUUCCCGGGCCUUGUACACACCGCCCGUCAAGUCAUGAAAGUGGGCAGCACCCGAAGCCGGUGGCCUAACCCCUUGUGGGAUGGAGCCGUCUAAGGUGAGGCUCGUGAUUGGGACUAAGUCGUAACAAGGUAGCCGUACCGGAAGGUGCGGCUG
rnacentral:rRNA from 1 species